UACGGAGGGUGCAAGCGUUAAUCGGAAUUACUGGGCGUAAAGCGUGCGUAGGCGGUUCGUUAAGUCUGCUGUGAAAACCCGAGGCUCAACCUCGGGCCUGCAGUGGGUACGGGCAGACUAGAGUGCGGUAGGGGAGAUUGGAAUUCCUGGUGUAGCGGUGGAAUGCGCAGAUAUGCGGAGGAACACCGAUGGCGAAGGCAAUCCCCUGGACCUGUACUGACGCUCAUGCACGAAAGCGUGGGGAGCAAACAGG
rnacentral:rRNA from 1 species